UCGGAUCGUUUUAGAAACAUCAGUGGCCAACAGAUCGCCAGAUCGUUGAGCUGCAUUGGCGGGAUUUCGCCGUCUUCGUUUCUCUUUCUUCGCGGACGAACACGCGCUGGGCCUGCAACGGCAGGAUCCAGGGUCCUUAACGGGAUGUGCGUUAGGGGCUUGUAGCUCAGUUGGUUAGAGCGCGCGCUUGAUAAGCGUGAGGUCGGAAGUUCAAGUCUUCCCAGGCCCACCACUUUCAUCGAGUGAGCAUUCGUCUUCUGGUUACGGGGCCAUAGCUCAGCUGGGAGAGCGCGUGCUUUGCAAGCAUGAGGUCGUCGGUUCGAUCCCGUCUGGCUCCACCAGAUGGUUUGAUCACCGAGAUCUUGACCGUCGUCCGCGAAACAUCACUUCGCAUCCUGCUAGUCUGGAUAGACAGCAGUUUGCGUGUUUUCUGACAUCGUAAAGAGGAGAUCGAUCCGAGUUGGGUCGUGCAGCAUAUCGUUGCGCGAGCCUUCAUUAUCUCCGGAUCAUUUCGGCGCUCGCUUCCAGCCGUGAGGUUGGAUGCGGGUUGUAAAUGAUCCUUUUAGCGAAGCUUGACCGCCUCGCUAUCGGAACGAUCUUACGAAGCAAGCUGGUCUUUCUAGUCAAUGUCCGGCUGCGGAUAGCGUUCAUCGAGGGCGCGUGCCGCAAGGCAAUUCUGCAGACAACAUUCUGCCGAGUGUGUGGACAUUGAUAAUGAGAGCAAUCAAGUGCCUUAAGGGUGUUCGGUGGAUGCCUUGGCGCUGAGAGGCGAUGAAGGACGUGCUACGCUGCGAUAAGCCGUGGGGAGCUGCGAAGAAGCUUUGAUCCGCG
rnacentral:misc_RNA from 1 species